rnacentral:rRNA from 1 species
GGAAUAUUGGGCAAUGGACGAAAGUCUGACCCAGCGACGCCGCGUGAGGGAAGAAGGUCUUCGGAUUGUAAACCUUAGUCAACAGGGACGAAGCAAGUGACGGUACCUGUGGAGGAAGCCACGGCUAACUACGUGCCAGCAGCCGCGGUAAUACGUAGGUGGCAAGCGUUAUCCGGAUUUACUGGGUGUAAAGGGCGCGUAGGCGGGGAUGCAAGUCAGAUGUGAAAUCUAUGGGCUUAACUCAUAAACUGCAUUUGAAACUGUGUCUCUUGAGUGCUGGAGAGGUAGACGGAAUUCCUUGUGUAGCGGUGAAAUGCGUAGAUAUAAGGAAGAACACCAGUGGCGAAGGCGGUCUACUGGACAGCAACUGACGCUGAGGCGCGAAAGCGUGGGGAGCAAACA